GUCAAGUAAUUUAGGGGCGUAUGGUGGAUGCCUUGGCGCUAGGAGCCGAAGAAGGACGGAGCCGUGGAUCGAUACGCUCCGGGGAGGUGCGGCAACCCGUGAUCCGGAGAUGUCCGAAUGGGGAAACCCGGGUCUAGAGACUAGAUACUAGAGACUGGAAACUAGAUGAGGUGGGUCUGGAGUGAGGUUUAAAAGUAUUCACAGACCCAAGAAAGUGUGGUUUUGUCUAGUUUCUAGUUAGGCCCAAAGGGUCGGUCUAGUAUCUAGUUUCUAGGCUCAUCCCCGCCUGAAUAUAUAGGGCGGGGAGGGGAACUCAGGGAACUGAACCAUCUCAGUACCUGGAGGAAAAGAAAGCAAGGAAAAGCGAUUCCCCUAGUAGUGGCGAGCGAAAAGGGAACAGCCUAAACCCGGCGGGUGUUAAAGCCCGCAGGCGUUGCCCGCCGGGGGUCGUGGGAGCCGCCUGAAGCACCUGCGGGUGCUUCGGGAAGUUACAAAUCUCCGCGUAGUCGAAGGAGUUGGAACACUCCGCCUGCUGCAUGCAUAUGAGCCAUGCAGCAGGUUGGCCGCCUACCCGCCGUUAAGGCGGAGAAGGGUGGCCAGCCACAGAGGGUGAAAGCCCUGUAGGCGAAACGCGGGAGACUUCCGGCGGCCACCCGAGUAACACGGGACAUGGUUAAGCCUGUGUGAACCUGGGAGGACCACUCUCUCCCGAGGCUAAAUACUCCAGCGACCGAUAGUGAACUAGUACCGUGAGGGAAAGGUGAAAAGAACCCCGGGAGGGGAGUGAAAUAGACUUUCCUGAAACCGUAUGCCCACAAGCAGUCAAAGCUAGAGACUGGAGACUAGAUACUAGAGACUAGAGAUGAGGGUCUAGAAAGUGGGCAAAGCUUUGAUUACAAGUUAUGCUUUGCUUUCGGAUAAUUAUCUAGUUUCUAGUGAGGGGCAAAGGCCCGGUCAAGUUUCUAGUCAUGGCGUGCUUUUUGCAUAAGAGCCGGCGAGUUACGGUAAGUGGCGGGUUAAGUCGAAGAGGCGGAGCCACAGCGAAAGCGAGUCUGAAUAAGGCGCUUGCGUCGCUUGCCGUAGUGCCCGAAACCGGGCGAGCUAUCCAUGGGCAGGAUGAAGCGGGGGUAACACUCCGUGGAGGUCCGCACCCGUCGACUGAGAGAGCCGUGGGAAGACCUGUGGAUAGGAGAGAAAACCUACUCGAGCCCGGAAAUAGCUGGUUCUCCCCGAAAUGCAUUUGGGUGCAGCCUCGGGAUAAACCAAUGGUGGUAGAAGCACCGGUUGGGUUACGAUCGGGUUUAUCCUAGAUCGGAGCCCCAGCCGAACUCCGAAUACCGUUGGUCAUUUCCCGGGAGUGAGGCUGCGGGCGUAAGGUCCGCAGUCGAGAGGGGAACAACCCAGAUCAUCGGUUAAGGUCCUUAAGUGCAGGCUAAGUGUGAUGUCUAAGGAAGUGGACCCGCAAAGACAACCAGGGGGUUGGCUUCAGAGCAGCCAUCCCUAAAAGAGUGUAUUGCGUAGCAGCUCACUGGUCGAGUGGGUCCGCGCCGAAGAUGUACCGGGGCUAAGCCUGCCACCGAAGCCAUGAGGUCAGAAAUAAGAGACAGGAAACAAGAGGCUAGAUGUGAAGGUCUAGAAAGCGGGUAAAGCCUGUUAAGGUAAUAUCCGCUCCGGAUUUAAUCCAUCUGGUUUCUGAUAGGGCCUUACGGCCCGGCCUGUUUUCUGGUUUCUGAUCGGUAGGGGAGCAUUCUGUAGGAGUUGAAGUCAUCCCGUAAGGGAUGGUGGAUCCUGCAGAAGAGAGAAUGCCGGCAUGAGUAGCUAACUAAGAUGGGUGAGAAUCCCAUCCGCCGAAAGCCUCAGGGUUCCCCCGCUCUGUUGAUCAACGGGGGGUUAGGCGGACCUAAGGCGAGGCCGAAAGGCGUAGUCGAUGGAUAAGCCGGUUAUAUUCCGGCGCCGUUCCGGUAGUCAGUAGUCGGUAAUCGGAGAACAGGUAAAAUUUUCUGUUCUCUGUGCCCUGAUUACUAAACAGCCAGUGACGUGGGCAAGCUGAGUCAGGGGGCAAGUGGAAGCCUGCUUGGCAAAGCCCAACCACUUAAAAAAGCUGGCAUUGUUGGUUAGAGGUUGGACUGCCGGAGAAUAGAAAAGGUCUGUUCUCCGCUCCCUGACCUCUGAUUUCUGGAACGUCCGUACCGCAGACCGGCACAGGCAGGCUGGCAGGUAAUCUGCCAAGGCGGGCGAGACAACCCUCGUUAAGGAACUCGGCAAAUUGACCCCGUAACUUUGGGAUAAGGGGCCCUCCCGCGCGGGAAACCACAUGGGAGGCGCAGAUAAAUUGGCCUGAGCGACUGUUUAUAAAAAACACAGGUCUCUGCUAAGUCGCAAGACGAUGUAUAGGGGCUGAUACCUACCCGGUGCCAGGACCUAAGAGGCGGGGUCGUAGGGUAGGUUACUGGGGAUCCGGUGAUCCCCAGUAGUUCAACUGAGGGCUCCAAAUCGAAACCCUGGUAAACGGCGGCCGCCAGAGAUGGCGGCCCUAAGGUAGCGGAAUUCCAGGCGGAUAACCUACCGUCUUGUCCAAAGGUAUUAACGACUCAGGCACUGUCUCAACGAGGGACUCGGUGAAAUUGGUUAAUCGGUGCAAAGACCGAUUACUCGCGGCGGGAUGUAAGCCCCCGGAAGCUUUACUACAGCUUGAUCUUGGCUCGGGGACGUUCCUUGCAAAUUACAAAUACUCGCGAGUAUUUGUAAUUUGCAAGGAACGUCCCCCGCCUAACCUGCUACCGUGGAUCCGGUGGGGGGACAGGGUCAGGUGGGUAGUUUGGCUGUGUCAGCCCCCUCCUAAAAAGUAACGGAGGGCUCCAAAGGUACCCUCAGCACGGUCGGAAACCGUGUAGUGAGCUCAAGGGUAUAAGGGUGCCUGACUGCUUAGGCCGAUGGGCCGCGCAGGGGCGAAAGCCGGGCUUAGUGACGCGGCGGUACCGCGUGGGAGGGCCGCCGUUGCAAGAGAUAAAAGUUCUCCGGGGAAAUAGGGCCAAUCACCCCCGAAAGAUCCCAUCGACGGGGUGGCUUGGUACCUCGCAGUCGGCUCUCCGCAUCCUGGGGGUGCAGAAGCUCCCAAGGGUUGGGCUUGUCGCCCAUUAAAGCGGAAUGUGAGCUGGAAUUAGACCCUUGUAAGAUAGGUCGGAUCAAUUAUCUGCCGUGAGCGUUGGAAGCUUGAGGGGAGCUGCCCUAAUUACGCAAGGAACAGGGUGGACGGACCUCUGGUGUACCGGUUGUCCCGCCAGGGGCACCGCCGGGUAGCUAUAGUCCGGACGGGAUAAGCGCUGAAAGCAUCUAAGCGCGAAGCCCACUCCAAGAUGAGGCUUCCCACCGGUCGAUAUACUAUGGCCGUUACUUCGAUGAUUGCUAUAACAACUACCGAAUAUAGGCUAAGGAUGACCAUUGACUGGUGAAGGUUCCAGGUAGACUACCUGGUUGAUAGGCCGCAGGUGUAAGGCCCGUGAGGGCUUGAGCCGAGCGGUACUAAUGACCGACGCACUUGA
rnacentral:rRNA from 1 species